GACGUACGCUGGCGGCGUGCCUAACACAUGCAAGUCGGACGGGGCUCUUUGGAUCGAGACUUCGGUCAGGUGAAUCUGAGCUUAGUGGCGGACGGGUGAGUAACGCGUGAGCAACCUGCCUUUCAGAGGGGGACAACAGUUGGAAACGACUGCUAAUACCGCAUAAUGUGUUUUGGGGGCAUCCCCGAAAUACCAAAGAUUUUAUCGCUGAAAGAUGGACUCGCGUUGGAUUAGAUAGUUGGUGAGGUAACGGCUCACCAAGUCGACGAUCCAUAGCCGGACUGAGAGGUUGAACGGCCACAUUGGGACUGAGACACGGCCCAG
rnacentral:rRNA from 1 species